rnacentral:rRNA from 1 species
UGGGGAAUAUUGGACAAUGGGCGAAAGCCUGAUCCAGCCAUGCCGCGUGUGUGAAGAAGGUCUUCGGAUUGUAAAGCACUUUAAGUUGGGAGGAAGGGCAGUAAGUGAAUACCUUGCUGUUUUGACGUUACCGACAGAAUAAGCACCGGCUAACUCUGUGCCAGCAGCCGCGGUAAUACAGAGGGUGCAAGCGUUAAUCGGAAUUACUGGGCGUAAAGCGUGCGUAGGCGGCUAAUUGAGUCGGAUGUGAAAUCCCCGAGCUUAACUUGGGAAUUGCAUUCGUUAAUGGUUAGCUAGAGUGUGGGAGAGGAUGGUAGAAUUCCAGGUGUGGCGGAGAAAUGCGUAGAGAUCUGGAGGAAUACAGAUGGCGAAGGCAGCCAUCUGGCCUAACACUGACACUGAGGUGCGAAAGCGUGGGGAGCAAACAGG